UGCCAAUGAUGAAAAGAUUUGUUGCGCUGAACCAUAAGUGAUUGAUGAUCUUAACGCCAGUCUGAGGCAGCA
rnacentral:snoRNA from 1 species